UGAGAACCUGGCUGAUGGAUGAGGCU
rnacentral:piRNA from 1 species